ensembl:lncRNA novel transcript, antisense to FSTL4
GGCAACACGCUGGGAUUCCUUUCCACGCAGUGGAAGCUUUGUUCUUUUGCUCUUUGCAAUAAAUGCUGCUGCUCACUCUUUAGGUUUACACUGACUUUAUCAGCUGCAACACUCACCCUGAAGGUCUGCAGCUGCACUUCUGAAGCCAGCGAGACCACGAACCCACCAGAAGGAAGAAACUCCAAACGCAUCCGAGCAUCAGAAGGAACAAACUCUGGACACGCUGCCUUUAAGAACUGUGACACUCACUGCGAGGGUCCGCGGCUUCAUUCUUGAAGUCAGUGAGACCAAGAACCCACCAAUUCCGGACAUAAUAGACGGACUUGCCAUCCUGCAAAGACCUGAGGAACCAUCCUUUUUCUCAGAGUCCUCUCAAGAAAAAGAAGUCUCUGCAACUUGGAGCAAUCUCUAAGUAGCUGUCUGAGCCCCCUGGAAGAGGGCUGUUGUGGGCAGCUGCAUUCAGUGUGAGCAACCUGGAGUGGGCCUGUCCUCCUGCUCGUUCCCAGGUUCAGGCCUGGAAGAGGGAGUUGGAGGCAUGAGAGAAGCCACUGUGGGGAGAGCACCUGGUUCUUCCAAGGCUCGGGGCAUGUGUGGUCCCUGGCUGACUUGGGUGUCCUCUGGUGUGUGCGGUCAGUCUUCUUCUGACUGUGGAUGCCAAAGGGGAGGCCCUUAUCUCUUAGCGCAUGACUCAUCUCUUCGCGCAUGACUCAUCUCUUUGUGCAUGACUGUAUUAUUCUCAGCGUGUCAUGUGGUUCCUGUGCAUAACUGAGCUCAAUGAAUAUUUGCUGAUUUCAGGGAGUGUGUUAGCCUAGGAUGCUACCUCCUGGGAAGCCCUGAGAGGAAGGAUAGUUAAGAAUUCAUAUUACCCAGGGAGGUCUGGCCUUGCCCUCUUUGGCUACAGGGAGGCAAUCUCUAGGCUCUGGAAUGUCAUGCCUCAUAGGGGUCUCUUUAUUUGCCUGGGGUCUUUGGGCCAGGUGGUACCAGUUCUGUCUCUAGAGGGGCUGGGGACGAGAGGGCAGCCAUGUGGGCAGUAUUUGAAUGAGCUCCAGCAAAAGCUUUGGACACCGAGGCCUGGGUGAGCUUCUCUGGGAAAUUGACACUGUGACAGUGACAUGUCUGUGACUCCACUGGGAGAGGAGAACAGAGAUUCCACGUUUAGAGCCCUCCUGGGCUCUGCCCUUUGGGCUUCAUCACUUGGCUGACUUUAAUCUGUACUCUUUUUGCUGUAUUAAACUUUAACUGUGAGUAUAACACUUACAAUGA